CAACCUGCCUAUAACUAGGGAAUAACCUUGCGAAAGUAAGACUAAUACCCUAUGAUUUCCUUUGNNGNCAUCNGAUUAGGAUUAAAGAUUUACCGGUUAUAGAUGGGGAUGCGUCUGAUUAGCUUGUUGGCGGGGUAACGGCCCACCAAGGCAACGAUCAGUAGGGGUUCUGAGAGGAAGGUCCCCCACAUUGGAACUGAGACACGGUCCAAACUCCUACGGGAGGCAGCAGUGAGGAAUAUUGGUCAAUGGGCGGAAGCCUGAGCCAGCCAAGUAGCGUGCAGGAUGACGGCCCUAUGGGUUGUAAACUGCUUUUAUACAGGAAUAAAGUUAGCCACGUGUGGUUAUUUGUAGGUACUGUAUGAAUAAGGACCGGCUAAUUCCGUGCCAGCAGCCGCGGUAAUACGGAAGGUCCAGGCGUUAUCCGGAUUCAUUGGGUUUAAAGGGAGCGUAGGCCGUCUGUUAAGCGUGUUGUGAAAUGUAGAUGCUCAACAUCUGAAUUGCAGCGCGAACUGGCAGACUUGAGUGUGCGCAACGUAGGCGGAAUUCGUGGUGUAGCGGUGAAAUGCUUAGAUAUCACGAAGAACUCCGAUUG
rnacentral:rRNA from 1 species